ACUCCUACGGGAGGCAGCAGUGGGAAUAUUGCACAAUGGGCGCAAGCCUGAUGCAGCCAUGCCGCGUGUGUGAAGAAGGCCUUCGGGUUGUAAAGCACUUUCAGUUGUGAGGAAGGUGGUGUCGUUAAUAGCGGCAUCAUUUGACGUUAGCAACAGAAGAAGCACCGGCUAACUCCGUGCCAGCAGCCGCGGUAAUACGGAGGGUGCGAGCGUUAUCCGGAUUCAUUGGGUUUAAAGGGUGCGUAGGCGGAAGUGUAAGUCAGGGGUGAAAGUUUGCAGCUCAACUGUAAAAUUGCCUUUGAUACUGCAUUUCUUGAGUACAUUUGAGGUAGGCGGAAUGUGUUGUGUAGCGGUGAAAUGCUUAGAUAUAACACAGAACACCGAUUGCGAAGGCAGCUUACUAAACUGUAACUGACGCUGAUGCACGAAAGCGUGGGGAUCGAACAGGAUUAGAUACCCUGUAGGCUCUG
rnacentral:rRNA from 1 species